rnacentral:piRNA from 1 species
UCCUCUCGGUGGAAAGACUUUCAGAUGUAU